GCUGCAUAAGUUUUCCCCUCAAAGUUAACAUGCACGACAGAACAUUCAGCCAAGCGGAUACAUUUUCAAUUUCUCGCCUGUUGUCUUUCAGCCUCUCGGCAGCGUGUGUGGCUGGCUACGUGUGGGGAUGCUGCAGAUUGCUGCGCCUUGCCAGUAAAAUCUACCACAAAACCUGGACUGGAUUUCAGUCUGCAGGUGAUGUACAGUUGGUUUAGCCUUUUCUCUGAAAACGGCUACCUGCUGCUGCUGCAAACAACGUGACAGUGGUGAUUGGCCAAGUCUGUCUGUAAAGCACGAAACCCCACACCUAGAAAGACCAAAUGCAUGUCUUAAUGAAGCUUAGAAAGGAAAGGUGAAUGGGACAGAAACAACAGUUACAGAUGUCUACCUCCAAAGCUCAUUACAGCACUAGACGGAUUAGAGACAAGAUGGUCCUUUGCACAUGUUUUCUUCCCAUUGGCCCGGGGUCCCUGGCUGACAGUGCUGCAGGUAUUACAUAUAAAGGUGCUCUCUUCCUGCACUAGGUUUCACCUCCGGCCUUGCAUACUGAAGAGAGGAGACUGGAUAGGAGAGACUGUAGGGGAUAAACAAUACAAGAGGAGGAGCAGGUCUGCAUGAAUGCUUUUUACCUUCAGU